CCCUGUAUACUGCACGGGCUUAAUAUGCAUAAUUAUCACGAUCAGAAAAAACUUUCUAUAUAUAUUUCCGGUUAGCCCGCGAUGGAUAUUGCGAUCCUACAUGUGCAAUGGAAAUCGUCUCGUGGUUUUGAAUAUCUUCUCGAGGUGAUUUAAAUUUUUAUUCGAUCACUCGAGAUCAUGUUUCAAUUUUCAUCCGUUGAUUCAAUAAAUUUAAUUCCCUUCUGGAGAUCCUCGAUAUUCGAGUACGAUCGAGUGCAAUUUUUUUAUAGGGUUUUUUUUUUUUUUCAAAUUUCUCGAUCGAAUGCAAUUUUUCAUAGGUUUUUUGUAUUUUUUUUUCAAAUUUUUCAAUCAAGUGUAAUUUUCAUCGGUUUUUGGUUUUGUUUUUUUUUCAAAUUUUUCGAUCGAAUGCAAUUUUUU
rnacentral:misc_RNA from 1 species